UAUAUGGUUUCAAUAGUUUUACUGGUGCUUUUUUCUCGGCUAAACGAUGUAAAAAGUGCAAGUUUUAAUGUUAAAUUAUCAUAUUUUACUUGAAAAGAAUAUAAAACUGUCAGUUGGUUAGAACAAACUUUGUUCCUUUUCCUGUCAGCAUGUUAUCUGUUGUUGAUAUAAACACCAGUUUAUUCUGCACAUGGAUAUUGUCAUCAAAAUGUGAUAUUGAUGGUGCAUUAUCAAAAAGGGCAAGAAAUGGAAAUGAGAUGGACAAAGCCUGAUGAUUAUGAAGACGAAUGAUCUAGAUAAGCUAUAAUUGUUGUAUUUAUCCGCUAAUUCCUACGAUACAUCACCUAUAUCAUGCCGCAUCAUCUUAUCUAAGGUGCACUUUAGCAGUAAAGAUAAGGCGAGAUAGUGGUUCCUGGUUCUCACGACGUUAGAUAAUCUCCUGCAGAUCCUUAUCAUUGUGUAAAACAUUUUUGACAGUCUUCAGCUACUGACAGAAAGCCAUGGCAGUUGACAUAACUUUGAUUUCCCACCAAUCGAGAUAACAGGGAAUGGUUGAAUACUAAAAAGUAGUUAAACCGUUUUGAAUGUUUAUGUGUUAACACA